CACACCCGGCUUAGCAUUGGGGUUCCCUGCUCGCUCAGCAGGGGGUGAGACGCCGAAGUGGUGUGUGAAGACCAGAGUAAUUCUGUGUCCCGAACCCCAUUUGUUCGCCGGAUUGGUGACAUAAAUAUAGGGUUAGUUAACCGAUUCCAUACAGGUCACCGCAACGCCACGCCAACGACACUUUUCAUCCUGUGCAGCUCUCUGCUCCCUAAGAGAUGGUUAUGGAGAAACCAAGCCCCCUGCUCGUAGGCCGCGAGUUUGUGAGGCAAUACUACACACUUCUGAACAAGGCUCCCGACUAUCUGCACAGGUUCUAUGGCAGGAGCUCUUCUUAUGUGCACGGAGGCCUGGACGGCAGCGGGAAACCAGAAGAGGCUGUCUAUGGGCAAGCUGAGAUCCAUAAGAAGGUGAUGUCGCUGCAGUUCAGUGAGUGUCACACCAAGAUCCGUCAUGUUGAUGCUCAUGCGACCCUCGGUGAUGGGGUCGUCGUCCAGGUGAUGGGGGAGCUGUCCAAUAACGGCCGUCCCAUGAGGAGGUUCAUGCAGACGUUUGUGCUGGCACCAGAGGGCUCUGCAGCGAAUAAGUUCUACGUGCACAAUGACAUCUUCCGCUAUGAGGAGGAGCUCUACAAUGACUCUGAGGCUGAGCUAGGUGAUUCAGAGGAGGAGGAGGGCGAGGAGGAGCAGCAGGAGGCGCAAACCUCACCUGAGCCACAGGAGGCCCCUGCCAGUGCAGCUUACUACGAACAUGCCCCUGUCAGUAAUGGUGUGGAAGAGCCACAGGAGGAGGCGGUCCUAGAGGUGGAGCCAGAGGUUCAGCCUGAGCCUGAGACCAAUCAGGAGCCUGCGGCUGAGCCUGUCCCAGAGGCGGAGCCACAGGCUGAAGAGGUGGGGCCAGAGGAGGAAGAGAAAGUUCCAGAAGAGCCAGAGGAGAAAGGCCCUUCCCCUGCACCUGCACAGUCUCCACCCCCCUCCACACCUGAACCACCCAAGACAUUCUCCUGGGCUUCCGUUACCAGUAAGAACUUGCCCCCCAGUGGUUCCCUCCCCGGGUCUGGCAUCCCUCCCCAUGUGGUCAAAGUCUCCAGCACACAGCCCAGGGCAGAGGUGAAGGCCGAUGCCCAGGUAUCUAUGCCUAGAGACCAGCGGGCACGGGAGAGGCAAGGCUUCAAUCCGAGAGGUAACCGCCCAGAUGGUGCAUCUUCAGAAUCCGGUGGAAAACCCUACUUCAGUUUUAAAGGGCGUGGGGACGGUGAGCCGGGUGACCAGGAGAUGCGCAGGACGGUGCGGUACCCUGACUCCCACCAGCUGUUUGUGGGCAACCUGCCACACGACAUCGACGAGGGGGAGCUCAAGGACUUCUUCAUGACUUUCGGGAAUGUGGUUGAGAUGCGCAUCAACACCAAGGGCGUCGGCGGGAAACUUCCCAACUUCGGCUUUGUCGUGUUUGAUGACUCUGAGCCUGUGCAAAGGAUCCUGGCAGCCAAGCCUGUGAUGUUUAGAGGGGAGGUGCGUCUGAAUGUGGAGGAGAAGAAGACUCGUGCUCUGCGGGAGAGGGAGACCCGAGGAGGUGGAGCCGGAGGAGACAUGCGCCGUGGUGGAGGAGCCCGAGGGCCAAUGGGCAAUGGCAUGGGGCGGGGACCUCCUCCUUCCCGCGGAGGGAUUGGCUCUGGCAGGGGAGGCGGCCAGGGCGGAGAGAGAUUCGCCGGGCAGAGGCGCUGAAAGGCGAAGCCAGCUUGGCCAAUGGUGUUGACGUAUGUUGUGACGGAAGGGGAAAACGCGACAAAAUAUCCCUACAUUCACAGCGCUCUUUCUCUCUUACCCUCUCUUUUUCUUUUUCUUUUUCUUUUCUUUAUUUCAUUUCUAUCUCUCUCUGGAAUGUCCCUGGACUGCCUAACUGCUGGAGCAGAACAAGAGAUCCUGAAGGAAAGCUUUUUUCAUUUUGUUUUUGUUCAUUUUUUUAUUAUUAUUUCUGAGGAACAAAAAGAACUGGUGAUGUCACUCGGAGGUGGGAGGGGCUUCUGGAUUGGUCAACCGGGAAAGCUCGCACGCAACGGACGCAAAUCAAAGCUCACACUCGAUUAAUUUAUUUUGGUAGUUAAUAAUAACGCGAGAUGGUGCCUUAUAACUGUUUUCUCUCUCUCUCCCCCCCCAUCCUCUCUCUUUCUCUCUGUCUGUGUGCUGUGAGAUGGGUGACACCGCAGCAGUGUGAAUGGUUCAAAUGAUCAAUGCUGGUAUUCUUGUAUGCAUGCACGUGUGAUUGUGUGUGUUUGUCGUCGGGUCUUUCUUGUGAGUAGGUUGAGCUUUUUGUGGUGAACGGAAGGCGGUGUGUGUGUGUGUGUGUGUGUGUGUGUGUGUGUGUGUGUGUGUGUGUGUGUGUGUGUGUGUG